rnacentral:rRNA from 1 species
GACGAACGCUGGCGGCGUGCUUAACACAUGCAAGUCGAACGGAAAGGCCCUGCUUUUGUGGGGUGCUCGAGUGGCGAACGGGUGAGUAACACGUGAGUAACCUGCCCUUGACUUUGGGAUAACUUCAGGAAACUGGGGCUAAUACCGGAUAGGAGCUCCUGCUGCAUGGUGGGGGUUGGAAAGUUUCGGCGGUUGGGGAUGGACUCGCGGCUUAUCAGCUGGUUGGUGGGGUAGUGGCUUACCAAGGCUUUGACGGGUAGCCGGCCUGAGAGGGUGACCGGCCACAUUGGGACUGAGAUACGGCCCAGACUCCUACGGGAGGCAGCAGGGGGGAAUAUUGCACAAUGGGCGGAAGCCUGAUGCAGCAACGCCGCGUGCGGGAUGACGGCCUUCGGGUUGUAAACCGCUUUCGCCUGUGACGAAGCGUGAGUGACGGUAAUGGGUAAAGAAGCACCGGCUAACUACGUG